rfam:Helianthus annuus linkage group 14, whole genome shotgun sequence.
GGCGAAGAUGAUUGUUUGCUAAUUAUUCUGACACCUCUUGUAUGAGAAUGGCGAAAGCUAUUCGUUGAGCAGAUAAAGCAACACUCUGAGCC